AGAGAGUAAUUUUUUUAUGAAAACCCAACAAUACCAAUGGCGCAGCAAAGUGCGCCUAGCCCUUCUAGUAUAGACGAUAGCUGCUCUAAUUCUAAUAAUGGAUAAAACUACAGGAUUUAUUAGAAAAGCUUUGAAGGAUUGUGAAAAGCAUGUCACAAAUGCACUAUGGCGCUUUAUUCAGCAGAAAGCUAGAAACCUUUAUUUUUCUUGCUUUAUUAAGGUUAUUUUCUGCAGAAGAGACAGACACAACUGGUGUUGUCCUCCAAUCUCCAGCAUGUUUGUUGUUUGACACGGGCGCCAAUGAAUUGCGCUUGCGUCCAGCACAACGCCUUGCACAAGGUGUCAAAACAGAAUGGCGUCGUCGAAGCCCGAUAUCUGCAAUCCUCUGCACGGAAAAAACACAAUAUUACAUUAAAAGGAAAAGGAAAUAACAUAACUAUAAAUAUCCACGCAUCAGUUAAUUAUUAGUUUGGUCUCUCGUAGCCUCACACCGCGAGCAAAGAAGACAAAAACAAGCUAGAUCCUAGAUGAGAGGGGGGAAGAAACAUAAGCCGCGUGUUUGGUUCUGUGCAUGAAUUUUGGGCCUCCUGCAUCUGUAGUUCGGUUGAGUCCAGAUGAGCAAAUAGAGACAAUAAACCAUGUUUUAUAGUGCAUUUGGUUGCCCACAAAGCUCCAGGCUGCAUGAGAACAGAAAUAGAAGUACUACCUUUGGUUGCAAAUAUUUGUUGGUCAGAUGCAACGUGUUGUUGUUGUUCGGUUACGUGCAAGACAUAGAGUGUGGUAAUCUCUUUUUUUAGUGGUGAAUUUAGGAGCACACACAGUCAUAUGCACACCACUUUCAACAAGCAUACAAAUGACUACAUUAACAAGCAUACACACAACGACACAACCAUAGGUAUAAUAGUGAUAUAGUAAAAUACACUAGAGGCCCUACAAGUAUUCCAAGUGUGUAAGGUAGGUCCUAAAAGUUUGAAAUCGUCCACCGCCGGUCCUAUACGUCUAUUUUACCCGCAACUUUUAGGAACUACUUGACAUAGUUGGAAUACUUUUAGGACCCAUGGCGAACGACGUACACACAUUUAGGUCCCGCGGUGAACGAUUUCAAACUUUUAGGACCUACUUGACACACUUGGAAUACGUUUAGGACCUCCGGUGUAUUUUACUCAUAGUGAUACACAGACGUGGCAAGGGUUGGGUCAUGAUGGGUGCACCUGACCACCACGUCUACGUCGGAAAGGUCAAACACAAUGACCUUGAAACUAUCCUACUCAGGAGCUAUGACAAAGCCAACCCACCCUUGAUCCAUGGCACACCCCCGUUGACAUCUCGACGUUUGACCCUUUAGUUGCAGCCAAUGUUCGUCCCCAGAACGAUUUCCUGUGGGAUGGUGCCCAUGUGCUCACAAAAGACAUCAUGUAUUAUAUAGAAGUAAAUAUAACCCAGGUGCUAAAAGCAUCUUGCAGAAGUGGGUUGGACCUACGUCCUCAUGGAAGCAACUGAUAUUCGUCGACCUCCCCUGCCUCGUCUUUGAACUAUUGCCUUCUACUAUAGCCUUGCCCUUGAAACAACUGCCUGAAGCAUCAUUGUCGAUGACCAACUUGUCGGAAGGGCAAUGCAAUGAAGAACAUUAGGCUCACCACACCACUGAAGUACAAUGUGUAGGAUCAUAACAAUGUGCAUGUAAAGGGUGAUGAUCUUCACUGCUUCCUGUCAUAUAGAAGGAGAGAGAUGGUACAAGGAUCAGAGCUACAAUGGGAAGAACCAACCCUCAUACCAACGAUCACCCUAAUACAUGGACUGCACAUAAGUGAAGAUCAUUGCUCUACGCAGUCCAAGUUAAACUAUUCUUCCCCCAAUCAGACUGAUGUACCCCCUAAUCUAACUUAGCUUCCCCAAAAUUUAACCCUAAAUCGACACCCAAAUUAAGCCAUAUCAAACCCUGUAAAACCCUAAAUCUGGCAGGGAAAGGGCUUACCGUCAAGCGGAAGGUCGUCGCUGGUGGUCACUAUGCAGAUCUUCCUGCCGCCGAUGAUCACAAUGUUGCAUGUGAGGGAGUGGCGGUGUAGAUCGGGGAGAGUGAGUGGUGAGAGAGGGUGAGGGUUUUAUGGCAUGGCUUCGUCAAACUAUGCGCCGUCUCCCUCUCGUCCCCGCGUGUGCAAGCGCGUGCCGUCCUUGCACUCGGUCAUGCCUGACUCGCUGGAAACAAUCGAUUUGGCCAUUACUCCAGUUCCAGGAUCUGGGCUGCUUUAGUAGUCUGCCACACAGGUAACCAAACAAACCAUGAUUGCUUUCCCAAGAUCUGGCUGGAGAGGAUGCGAGCAAUCAAACACACCCAAGGUAGCAUGCCUAGCGUCCAUGUAGUAGUAUGUGAUGUGAUGGUUUCCUCAGAAACCUCACGGAUGGAAUGGAUAGAUAGUGUGUUAGGUACACUGCCUGGAUGGUAGUAAUAAUUAUGAGGAUCCAGUAUAAAUUUCCUAAAUCUUAGCGAGUUUGUGUUUUUUUUGUAAUUUGUACUUACUGAGCCAGGGUUUUCUUUCUAAAAAAUACAGCUAAAGAGCACCUUAGAUUCGCUAAUACAAUGGAAAGACAACAUGACACAAAAUGAUUAAAAAAUAAUAUAAUUGCAUCAAAAACCAUACUAUAACAACACAUGCAUUAGUUUUUUCGCGGGGUGCACAUGUUAAUUGCUUCAGUCUCAUGCGUAUAACGCCGUGCAAAGAAGUGAAAAACAAGAUAGAGAGAGAGGGAGACGAACCGGCGACAUCAGUAGGACUUACGUGUAACACAAGUACUAGGAGGAGGAAAUAGAGAACCAAAUGCUGGGCACCCAUGGUGAUGAAGUGAUAGUUUAUUUCUUAUCAAACCUAAGGGAGA
rnacentral:lncRNA from 1 species